CCUACACCACAGCUCACAGCAACGCCCGAUUCUCAACCCACUGGGCGAGGCCAGGGAUCAAACCUGUGUCCUUACGGAUACUAGGCAGGUUUGUUAACUGCUGAGCCAGGAUGGGAGCUCCAGCGUCUGUCUUUUAAUGGAUGUAUUUGGACAGUUGGUACCGAGCGGGGUUCCUGGUACGUGGGGCUCACUCCUGCAUGUUGCGUUGUUGUUAUUUCUCUGUCCUUGUCCCUGCUUCCUGAGGGUCACCCGGACAAGCUUAGUGCUCCGAGCCCUGGCGGGGCAGGUGACCUGCAGCCCGGCAGGUGGGGGCCCUCCCCAGCGGCCUGUGCUGAGUGAGGGCUGGGCCGUCUCACUGUGCAUCCCCGGCCAGGCUCUGGUGGUUCGUUUCGUCUGCUGGCUUCGCAUCUGGGGGGGGGGGGGGGGGGGGCUCCGAGGUCCCCCAGGAUGCCCGGCCGUGACUCCUGGGGCUGGCACCCAGCUGGCCUCCCCCCAGUUUGUUCCAUGGCGCAUCCAGGGUCUUCACUGGGCAGGAGGCCGUGGAGGGACGUGCACCGCGCCUUCCUGGCAGCUGAGGACCGCGCCACUUGCUAAAGGAGGGACACAGCUGGACCUUUGGAAAUGACAGCGGCUUGGCCGUGGGUCAGACCUGGAGGAGGGGAGGGUGUGGCCGUGUGCAUGGAGGUGGCUGAAAGGCUGGGCAUGGGACAGGCAGCCCUGGCGUGACCUUGGGCUGGUGGCCAUUGGCUGUGCUGUGCUCUCAACACCAACACAUCGCCACCACCCGGCCCAGCACCUGCCCUGCAGGGCCCUGGAGCCACCUCACAGGGGAAGCGUGGAGGCUGAGCGAGGGCCCAGAGGCGGUGCCUUCCCCCAGGCCGGGUCCAGGUUCGACUCCCCAGCUCAUAGAUGAGGCGGACACUGGGCGCUGGGCGUGCUGCCCUCCCUCCCGGGGCCUGGGGGCUGGGCUGGCUACGUCAGGCCCCUUCUGCUCUGAAGCACGUGGGGGUCCACCUGACUGGGAGUGGCACCCCCUCCAGUGUGGGGGCCCUCCCACUCCCCCGGCCUCUACCUGCACCUGCGUGGUCUGUGCAGAAGCCCCGCCUACCCGCCGUGCUGCAAGUGACCACAGGCCCGCAUCUCACCAAGCUUCACCCCAGACCGCCAGCCUGGAAGGGCCGACGGUUCAGCUGGGACUCUGGCCCGGGACACAGCCUGUGGAUUUGCCCUGUCCUCCCAGUGUCCCCGAGGGUGGCCAGUGCCCAAGCCACGUCCCCCAAAGGCAAACGCGAGGGCCUGGGAACCGGGACGGAUGGAGGACCAGCCUUUCCCCGGAUCCAGCUCAGGGAAGGCUCAGAAUACUGGCCCCUCCAUCCUGCAGCCCUGGACGCGGGGCUCCAGGUGUGACCUGCCUUCUCUGAUAUACGCUGAUGUAGGCGUCACCAGCCCGCCACCACGAGGACCCAGGCCACUGCCAGGGAGGAUGAAGAAAGACCCCAAAGCCACGUAGGGCCGUCUUCCCCACGGGUGGCACCGUGCUCAUGGCUCUUCAUCGGGAACCGCUGGGAACCGCUGGGAACUGCUGGGAACGGGAGGCCCACGCCUCGGCCUUGGCGCUUAAAGCCUCCUGUGCCCUGAUUGGAAGAAGAAACUUGGCUUAGCGUUGGGUGAGAUGCUGGCGCACCUGGCCAAGGCCGCACCUGUUCUGCCGAGAGGCACCCUGCCCACCACCUCCCGGAGCAGCCUUGUAAACAUCUGUGGUUGGGUGGGGGUCGGGGGCUGGUGAAAAGCGGAGAGAGGAAUGCCGGCCGUCCUUCCCCCAGAGGCAGGUGCAGGGGCCCUGCUGGGUGUGGCCAGCCUGAGCCGGCCCUGCCCGCCCCCGCCCGGCUGCCGCCAGCCCCAGCCUGUCCACCAGGGGGCAGUGGUGCCUAACCGUGGCCGCUGGUCCCAGCGGGUCGGCCCCCAGGGUGGUGACCACAGAGCCUGGCGGCCCUUUAAGCCUCUGACACCUGGCAGGUCCAUGGCAGGGAGGCAAAGCCUUUGUGGAAAUGACGCUGCCUUCCCAACCUGCCCGGGAGGGGAGGGGUUGCAGUCACAUCCUGUGGCGUCUUGGCUCCAUUCCUCAGACAGAGCCACCAAGGUCCCUGCAGCAGGCUGGGCCUGGCUUCGACCCCAAGGCAGGCACUGAGUCCCUCGGUCCCUUCUCUGGUGACCUUCAGCUCGUUUGCCCCGCUGGAGCCGUCUGGCAGGACUGCUGCCCCUGGGGACGUUUCCUCUGGCCAGCCGGGUGGCACGUCUGGUCCAACGGGUGGGCAGCAGGGGCAGCUGCUGCGAGGCCAUGGCCGGAGGGGCUGGGUUUCCAUGUGGGCACUGCCUCCCAUCUGGUGUCUAAGCCGAGAAGCUCCUCCUUACCUGGGGGCGGCGGGCCCGGUCUAGGAACAACCUCACCCGGCCAGGAGCCCCCGAAGCGAGGGCGGGCCCUACUGCUGGACGGGCGAGGAGGUGGCCAGGCUGGCCCGCUCCGCCUUGCUGGCUCUCCAGCGUGUUCUGGAUGGUACGUGCCGGUGCCCUGGUGGUCAGGGUGUCUGGCUCGGCAGGGGUGUGCCUGGGAUGGAGGCUGCUCUCGGCGCCCCUGCGUGACCGCCGGCCGGGCCCCCUCGCCUGAACUGCGCGGGGCUCCUCAGAGGCUAAUAGCAGUAUCACUGUCCUAAUUCAUUAGACACGGGGAGACUUUAAAUUUCAUUUUUGUGCAGUUAUUUAAAAUUUAAAAUGAUAACGUCCAACUCAAUUAAAUGCCAGUUGAUCACUCCAAAUGCACCGUCUUAUGACACGUGAAUCAGGAGUCUCGGGACCUCUUAGAACAGCGUAACCUCCGUGCAGACGAUCUGCUCGGGGCCGUCCUGUCGCGGGGCGGAUCUGAGCAAAUGAAGAGAGGAGGCGGACGCCCGGCGGGUCCAGUCUGAAAAUGACCUCCGCCGUCGGACGCUCCGGGAGCACUUCCUGCACAUCAGGUCCCUUCUCUUGCUGUGUGACGAUUAUGCUUUUUUAUGUGACCUUUCUCUUUGAGGAUUUCUGGCCUUUUCAUAAUUUAGAGGCUCCAGCGGAGAGUCUGUUCUCAGCCUCUGGGGCGUCGCCCGGAGGCCUGUGGGGACGGCCGGCCCUGCCCUGUCAUCCCCCGGCGCCGCCUCCGCACUGGCUUUGCGCGUGUGGACCCACCCGCCCGCCAACAAGCUCCCUUUCUAGAAACACUCAUAGCACCUGUGCUCCUGCUCGAGGCCUGGAAUCCACCGGAUCCCCCGGCUGUGAGGUCAGCGGGACCACCGCCUGGACCCAGGGCAAGAUGCCAGGCAGAGCCGGGCCCCUGGGUUGGUCUGAGCAGGACUCGAAUCCGGGCUUGCUGGUGGCCGGCUGGGUGGGGCCUCGACGUGCGUCCCUGCAGCCUGUGGGCCAUCGGUCGCGCCUCCUCCUCAGGCGCUAAGUUGUCUGGAAGCUCAAAGCCGGUGGCACCAGUGACCAAGGACCCAGGGCUUCAGUCCCUUGGCUGGUGGGCAGCGAGGACUGGGCUGGGGAGGUGGGGGGGUCGGGAGGUGGGUCCCGGAUGGGGCAGGAGGCGUCUCCUCCACUGGAAAAUCAGCAGCUUCACAGCUGGAAGGAGUCGGUCUGCGACCUCUUCAUGGUGACCUGCGACCUCUUCAAGGAACCUCUGCCACCAGCCGAAGGUUUGGGGAUUGGUCCUGCUCCGGGUGGGGCCGCUGCAGAAAAAGCCACCGAGGGCCCUGGCCGGGUCUGGGGUGCCGGCCACCGCUGACUUUGCCCCCCUGGCUCGUGUGCAGCAUCAGUCGGAGUCCAGUGCACACGCAAGUGCGGUUGCCCUUGGUCGUGCUGUCCUGUUUCCCCCGGAAACGGUCCUGGCUCGACGGGAGGUCAGAGGGCAGGGGGUGGGGCCCCGGCUGGGAGCUCAGUCUGAGGGCCCUGGUGGUCCGGCCGGGGUCCCCUUCCAGGUGGGGCCGCUGUAUCUGUGGAGCUGGGCCCAGCGUGUGUGGCGGCCUGGGAGCAGCUUAUCUCUGUCCGGGCGUCCUGGCACCCCGGCCCCGUCCUCAGCGGCCACCGGGGCCCCCAGCUGUGGGGUCUGGGCACUGCACCCAACUCGGGCUGAGCCCCUUCCUUUGGCUCCAGUACAGACCAUUUGUUUUCCCCUUUAUUUUGCUUUUACUGUUUAUAAAACCACAAAAGAAACUGUUGGCCCGAGGGAUAGUCCGUACGGAGAAGAGGGAAGCCGACGCUCAGAGGAGCACGUGGCCUUCAUCCCGGCCGGGCCCCCGGGCCCCGCGAUGGCCAGAGCAGCAGAUCCCGGGACCAGCCCUCCCGACUUGGGGAGGCAGAGGCUGCGGGCAGCGAGGCGGCAGAGGGGACCAGGUCACGGCGGCUGGGGUGCCCCCGCGCGGCAGGCAGCGGUGGAGACUCUCGAUGCUGAGAGCGGGCGCCCUGGCCUUUCCGAUGCAGACGCGGAGGGCGGGCGCGGGCGGGGGAUGCCCGGGCCACUCUGGUGGCGUCUGUCCUCCUCCUCACCCGGGCGUCCAGCAGAACUGGGCAGAACCGGGUGUCCCACCGCGUCCAGUGAGCCCGUCUCCUCCCCCUUCCCUCUGGGUCUCCAGACAGUGACAGGCCCGCCCACCUGUGACCUGUCUGGUCCCCUUCUCAGCGGUGCCCCCUGCCCUUCGCGCCCCGCCCACCCUGACCGGGCCCCCCCUCAGCUCCCGGCCCUUGGACGCCACGUGCUGCCACCCUGUGGGCCGGGCCAGCCCCGGGUAGGUCAGCCUGACGGGCACUGAGGGCUGUAGUUCCUUGACCCCGGGAGGGCCAGGCCCUGGGUGGG
rnacentral:lncRNA from 1 species